GAGGAAGCCGGUGCGAAUCCGGCACGGUCCCGCCACUGUGACCGGGCACCAGGCCCGGGAGUCAGGAACUC
rnacentral:ncRNA from 1 species